GCUCGUCAAAUCGUGGAAGAAGAUGGGACAGACUGCAGGAUGCGAGGAUGGGGCCUCCACGUGAAAAGUAACUACAAAACAGAACCAGAAAAUAGUCAUGCUGUUCAAGUGCAUUCUGGGUGUCCACAUAUUUGUUGUUGCUUUAGGAAGAGGAGCUGGGAGGUUGGAGUCGCCACACAUGUUGAAAGAUGUGGCAAAAAACAAACAAACAAAACACCUCAUAGAGAGAAAUCCUGACUUUGUGCACAAGAAAAGGGAGUGAAGUGUGUGGGGUUUUUAAAGUGGUGGUGGGGGGGCAUUAGGAGAUACCCAGAAGCUCUCAAGAUUCCAAACAGUCUGCUUUUCUUUUCAGACAUUACACUCCAAGAAAAGAAACUCUAGUGUAUAACAGAGGGGCUCUGUCAAAAUUUAACAACAUAAAUAUUGGGCAAAUGAAGUUGUUUCUCUGGUGCUAUCUCAACCUGCCAAUGGAGAAAUAUCUCAAAAAGUCAAGAAUUGAAGCCAUUACUCAGAGACAGCAUCCUAUGGCAUGGUGAUCCAAAACAAGUACACCUCUACCUUUUCCCUUUCAGCCCCAAACCCCAAAACACUGGAGAAUAUUGGGGCAGGCAAGGCCCGUGAAUAGGUGAGCAGAGCUGGAAGAAGAGACUCCUGCCCCUGGUGGGCCUCAGGCUAUUUGUGGAAUGAUGUUUGUGAGAUGAACAUGUUCGCUCCCUCACCCGGAUGUUUUGGACAUAGGAGCCUGGAGUAAAGAGUGUAUAUCUUGG
rnacentral:lncRNA from 1 species